AACGAACGCUGGCGGCGUGCCUAACACAUGCAAGUCGAGCGAAUGAAGUUCCUUCGGGAACGGAUUUAGCGGCGGACGGGUGAGUAACACGUGGGCAACCUGCCUCAUAGAGGGGAAUAGCCUUCCGAAAGGGAGAUUAAUACCGCAUAAGAUUGUAGUACCGCAUGGUACAGCAAUUAAAGGAGCAAUCCGCUAUGAGAUGGGCCCGCGGCGCAUUAGCUAGUUGGUGAGGUAACGGCUCACCAAGGCGACGAUGCGUAGCCGACCUGAGAGGGUGAUCGGCCACAUUGGGACUGAGACACGGCCCAGACUCCUACGGGAGGCAGCAGCGGGGAAUAUUGCACAAUGGGGGAAACCCUGAUGCAGCAACGCCGCGUGAGUGAUGACGGCCUUCGGGUUGUAAAGCUCUGUCUUCAGGGACGAUAAUGACGGUACCUGAGGAGGAAGCCACGGCUAACUACGUGCCAGCCGCCGCCGUAAGAC
rnacentral:rRNA from 1 species